rnacentral:rRNA from 1 species
GAUGAACGCUGGCGGCGUGCUUAACACAUGCAAGUCGAACGGAAAGGCUCCUGCUUGCAGGGGUACUCGAGUGGCGAACGGGUGAGUAACACGUGGGUGAUCUGCCCUGCACUUCGGGAUAAGCCUGGGAAACUGGGUCUAAUACCGGAUAGGACCACAUUUUGGAUGGUGUGGUGGAAAGUUUUUCGGUGUGGGAUGAGCUCGCGGCCUAUCAGCUUGUUGGUGGGGUAAUGGCCUACCAAGGCGUCGACGGGUAGCCGGCCUGAGAGGGUGUACGGCCACAUUGGGACUGAGAUACGGCCCAGACUCCUACGGGAGGCAGCAGUGGGGAAUAUUGCACAAUGGGCGCAAGCCUGAUGCAGCGACGCCGCGUGGGGGAUGACGGCAUUCGGGUUGUAAACUCCUUUCGCUAGGGACGAAGCGUUUUUGUGACGGUACCUGGAGAAGAAGCACCGGCUAACUACGUG